AACGCGAAGAACCUUACCAAGGCUUGACAUGGACUGGAAAUACCUGGAAACAGGUGCCCCGCUUGCGGCCGGUUCACAGGUGGUGCAUGGUUGUCGUCAGCUCGUGUCGUGAGAUGUUGGGUUAAGUCCCGCAACGAGCGCAACCCUCGUUCUAUGUUGCCAGCACGUGAUGGUGGGGACUCAUAGGAGACUGCCGGGGUCAACUCGGAGGAAGGUGGGGACGACGUCAAAUCAUCAUGCCCCUUAUGUCUUGGGCUUCACGCAUGCUACAAUGGCCGGUACAAAGGGCUGCUAUCCCGCGAGGGUGAGCGAAUCCCAAAAAGCCGGUCUCAGUUCGGAUCGGAGUCUGCAACUCGACUCCGUGAAGCUGGAGUCGCUAGUAAUCCCGGAUCAGCAACGCCGGGGUGAAUACGUUCCCGGGCCUUGUACACACCG
rnacentral:rRNA from 1 species